rnacentral:piRNA from 1 species
UACAACUGUCUGUGAAUCCACUUGCUGGGA